UACGGAGGGUGCGAGCGUUGUUCGGAAUCACUGGGCUUAAAGGGCGCGUAGGCGGGCCCUCAAGUCCGGGGUGAAAGCCUCCCGCUUAACGGGAGAAGAGCCUCGGAGACUGAGGGCCUCGAGGGAGGUAGGGGCGUGCGGAACUAUGGGUGGAGCGGUGAAAAUGCAUUGAUAUCCAUAGGAACUCCGGUGGCGAAGGCGGCACGCUGGACCUCUUCUGACGCUGAGGCGCGAAAAGCCAGGGGAGGCAAACGGG
rnacentral:rRNA from 1 species